rnacentral:tRNA from 3 species
GCCAAUGUAGCUCAGUGGCAGAGCAACGGUUUCGUAAACCGUAGGUCGUCGGUUCGACCCCGACCAUUGGCUCCA